rnacentral:rRNA from 1 species
UCUUUCUCAGUCAGAGGAAGUAAAAGUAAGUACAAGCUAUGUGUUGGUGAACCAGCGGAGGGAUCGAUCUUGAGUUUUUUAAACUCUCACAACAUGUGAAGUUCAUUUCUGUUGCCUCCUCAGAAGUUAUAGGUCUUCCCGGUAAAACGCCGGUGGACCAUUAAGGUCCCGUUAUUUUAGGUAAUAUGAGUGUCUUAUGAGAAUAAGUCAAAACAAUUAACAACGGAUAUCAAGGGUUUUGCAUGGUUGAAGAUCGCAGAAGAAUGCAGUAAAUAAUGAUAAGUAAAGAAAUCAGUGAAUCAUAGAAUAUCAGAGAACACAUUGCGCCCAUUAGUAUUCGCCAGGGCAUGCCUGUUCGAGCCUCAUUUCAACCCAUAAGCCCCUCAAGCACAGGGAAUUGUUGGGACCCAGGAGUUUCGUUUUCCCAAAACAAAUGCGGAUUUGUAGUGUCCUUUCAGAGUAGUGAAUUAUUUCUCGCUUUUGUUAGGUGCUAUAACUGCCAGCCGGUAAACCCCCAAUUCUGAAGGUGACCUCGGAUCAGG